AAAAGCCGAAGCUUGCUUCGGGUGGAUGAGUAGCGAACGGGUGAGUAACACGUGAGUAACCUGCCCCUGAUUUCGGGAUAAGCCUGGGAAACCGGGUCUAAUACCGGAUACGACCAAUCCUCGCAUGAGGGUUGGUGGAAAGUUUUUCGAUCGGGGAUGGGCUCGCGGCCUAUCAGCUUGUUGGUGGGGUAAUGGCCCACCAAGGCGACGACGGGUAGCCGGCCUGAGAGGGCGACCGGCCACACUGGGACUGAGACACGGCCCAGACUCCUACGGGAGGCAGCAGUGGGGAAUAUUGCACAAUGGGGGAAACCCUGAUGCAGCGACGCAGCGUGCGGGAUGACGGCCUUCGGGUUGUAAACCGCUUUCAGCAGGGAAGAAGCGAAAGUGACGGUACCUGCAGAAGAAGUACCGGCUAACUACGGUGCCAGCAGCCGCGGGUAAUACGUAGGGUACGAGCGUUGUCCGGAAUUAUUGGGCGUAAAGAGCUCGUAGGUGGUUGGUCACGUCUGCUGUGGAAACGCAACGCUUAACGUUUGCUGCGUGCAGUGGGGUACCGGGCUGACUAGAGUGCAUUAGGGGAGUUCUGGCAAAUUCCUUGGUGUAGCGGGUGAAAUGCGCAGAAUAAUCCAAGGGAGGAAACACCCGGUGGGCGAAAGGCCGGGGACUUCUUGGGGCUGGUAACUGACCACCUGAGGGAGCCGAAAAGCAAUGGGGAAGCGAACCAGGAAUUAGAUACCCUGGUUAGUCCAUGCCCCGUUAAACGUGGGCAAUAAGUGUGGGGGAACAAUUCACGUUUUCCGCGCCGUAGUAACGCAAUAAAGUGCCCCCGCCUGGGGAGUACGUCGCAGGGCUAAACUCAAAGGAAUGACGGGGCCCGCACAAGCGCGAGCAAGCGAUAUUCGAUGCACGCGAAG
rnacentral:rRNA from 2 species